rnacentral:lncRNA from 1 species
CGUUAACUUGCCUAGGAAUCCACCCUUAGUAAGGGACAGACUGGUAUUUAGUCCCAUGCAGUCUGGUUCCAGUGCCUAUGCUGUCAACCUCUGCUGCAAACCUGACUCACUGACUCUUGGUGUUGGGUCAGGCCACACCUCUGCCUAGAGUUUCCGAAUUCUUUAAUUAGCUUAGGUCUUCAAAGGCCAAGGCUAUGGGCUUGAUCUCUGAUAGCAGCAGUCUGAACCUUAAUCCUGGCCAGAUGUCCUGCAAACAACCCACAGAUCUAGGCCUGUGGUUACCAAGGAGACCAGGUGGGAGAGUGGGGAUGGACCAGUGCCAGUCAGCAGUUCCACAGGGAAAACUGUGCUUCCAACAAUAGGUCAGAACUCGCUUCUCCAUGACAUUAAAAUACCCAUGGAAACAUGUUAGCUAAACAAUCUGGCUCGCUUGCAUCUCCCUAUGCUAAGACUGUCCCCAACUGGCUUUGUAUGAACAGAAUGUUGGCUCCUACAUCCGUGAUUUGUUGAAAGGGUCAAAUUCCACUCUGGCUGUUUCAUCAAAAGAGUAAAUACUAUAUGUUUAGAUAUUUGAUGUGCUCAGAUUGAGUUUGGGAGGUUUGUAGCAAGGCCUAGAGUCAUGGGGAAUGGUAGAUCUGCCAGGGGCUUUAGGGAAUCAAAGUCUAGCCCCCUCUCACUAUACAGAUAAGGGAAGCCAGAUUGUCAGCGGGCAUGCACAUGGCUAAUGGUGGCAGAACCAGGACAGGACCUCCCAUCUGCCACUAACAGCCUGUCAGAGACAGUAAAAUUACCUUUCCCCAAACUCUUUGGAAAUUUAUUUUGGCUUCAUAGGCAAUGCUUGGGCAUCAAAAAGAGCUAGCUAUUUCAUUACUUGGGAAGGAAGGAGGUCAUACUCUCAGGGUAGUAGCAUGUCUAGAGCUAAACUGAGGUGAAAAUUUGUUAAGCUUUCUGACCAGUUUGAUCAAGGUAGCCAACAGGAACUUAUUCUCUCAAAUAUCCAGGUCCUGUAUUUGAAUCAACUUUUUUUUUUUUUACAUUUUAAUUCUAUGUAACUGCAUAUUUCUCUACUGUAUUUGUAUUUUACUGUUUCUUCUGGGAAAAAAAUCAUUGAAAUGAUUUUAAACGUAACUAUUGGGAACAACAUCACUAAA